rnacentral:lncRNA from 1 species
CUGCCAGGAGCGCGCCGGUGCGAGUCGCCGCAGCCUGCAGCCAGCUGCUGUUGCCGCCGCCGCUCGGUCGUGGGCUAGCGCGCAGGAGAACAGAAGUGUCAGCAGAGGACUGUAAGUGCUAUGUGAUUGGACGACGGUGGCCAUAGAAUUUCACCUGCCCAGCACGUAUUCUCUCAUCCUCUCCUCCUCUGCCUUCUUUGGGAGGGAGAAAUCAGAAGGAGUGGGGAUGCAGUUCAGAGAGCAGAGGAGAAGAGAAGAAAAGAAGGAAGAAGGAAGAGGACUAGGGUUGGGUGGGGGGGGAGGACACCAAUGGGAAGAGGGACAGAUCAACUCUAUACACAAAAGUAAAUCAAAACACCAAAAACAGGGGUCUAUGUAAAGAAGCCUCUUCCCGUGAAUUGCUCGUUGCAUAGCUGCAGGGAGGGUGUUUAGGGGCAUAGAGAAUGAAAACAUACCUGUAUUUUGGUGUAGGGAAAUUGUUUCUGUCAAUUCACACCGUCCACACACCACCUCCCACCCCAACCCCGCCACUACCAAAUUCCUCUAAAUAAAAAUAAUUAUGAGAUACAGGCCAACAAAAACGUCAGCGUUAGGCUGUUAUUUAGAGAGAAUUGGAAAGCGUUUGAAUGUGGCCCUGUUGUUUAAUAAACGAUAACAAUGAUUA